rnacentral:rRNA from 1 species
UGAGUAACACGUGGGCAAUCUGCCCUGCACUUCGGGAUAAGCCUGGGAAACUGGGUCUAAUACCGGAUAGGACCUUUAGGCGCAUGUCUUUAGGUGGAAAGCUUUUGCGGUGUGGGAUGGGCCCGCGGCCUAUCAGCUUGUUGGUGGGGUGAUGGCCUACCAAGGCGACGACGGGUAGCCGGCCUGAGAGGGUGUCCGGCCACACUGGGACUGAGAUACGGCCCAGACUCCUACGGGAGGCAGCAGUGGGGAAUAUUGCACAAUGGGCGCAAGCCUGAUGCAGCGACGCCGCGUGGGGGAUGACGGCCUUCGGGUUGUAAACCUCUUUCACCAUCGACGAAGGUUCGGGUUUUCUCGGAUUGACGGUAGGUGGAGAAGAAGCACCGGCCAACUACGUGCCAGCAGCCGCGGUAAUACGUAGGGUGCGAGCGUUGUCCGGAAUUACUGGGCGUAAAGAGCUCGUAGGUGGUUUGUCGCGUUGUUCGUGAAAUCUCACGGCUUAACUGUGAGCGUGCGGGCGAUACGGGCAGACUAGAGUACUGCAGGGGAGACUGGAAUUCCUGGUGUAGCGGUGGAAUGCGCAGAUAUCAGGAGGAACACCGGUGGCGAAGGCGGGUCUCUGGGCAGUAACUGACGCUGAGGAGCGAAAGCGUGGGGAGCGAACAGGAUUAGAUACCCUGGUAGUCCACGCCGUAAACGGUGGGUACUAGGUGUGGGUUUCCUUCCUUGGGAUCCGUGCCGUAGCUAACGCAUUAAGUACCCCGCCUGGGGGAGUACGGCCGCAAGGCUAAAACUCAAAGGAAUUGACGGGGGGCCCGCACAA